rnacentral:rRNA from 1 species
GACGAACGCUGGCGGCGUGCUUAACACAUGCAAGUCGAACGGUGAAGCCCUUCGGGGUGGAUCAGUGGCGAACGGGUGAGUAACACGUGAGCAACCUGCCCCUGGCUCUGGGACAACCACUGGAAACGGUGGCUAAUACCGGAUACGACCCGCCUCGGCAUCGAGUGUGGGUGGAAAGUUUUUCGGCUGGGGAUGGGCUCGCGGCCUAUCAGCUUGUUGGUGAGGUGAAGGCUCACCAAGGCGACGACGGGUAGCCGGCCUGAGAGGGCGACCGGCCACACUGGGACUGAGACACGGCCCAGACUCCUACGGGAGGCAGCAGUGGGGAAUAUUGCACAAUGGGCGGAAGCCUGAUGCAGCGACGCCGCGUGAGGGAUGACGGCCUUCGGGUUGUAAACCUCUUUCAGCUCCGAAGAAGCGAAAGUGACGGUAGGAGCAGAAGAAGCACCGGCUAACUACGUG